rnacentral:rRNA from 1 species
UACGGAGGGUGCAAGCGUUAAUCGGAAUUACUGGGCGUAAAGCGCACGUAGGUGGUUUUCUAAGUCAGCUGUGAAAUCCCCGGGCUCAACCUGGGACUUGCAGUUGAAACUGGAAAGCUAGAGUAGGGUAGAGGGGUGUGGAAUUCCAGGUGUAGCGGUGAAAUGCGUAGAUAUCUGGAGGAACACCAGAGGCGAAGGCGGCGACCUGGACAAGUACUGACACUCAACUACGAAAGCGUGGGGAGCAAACAGG